rnacentral:rRNA from 1 species
AUUGAACGCUGGCGGCAGGCCUAACACAUGCAAGUCGAGCGGGGUUUUCGGACCUAGCGGCGGACGGGUGAGUAAUGCGUAGGAAGCUACCCGAUAGAGGGGGAUACCAGUUGGAAACGACUGUUAAUACCGCAUAAUGUCUACGGACCAAAGUGUGGGACCUUCGGGCCACAUGCUAUCGGAUGCGCCUACGUGGGAUUAGCUAGUUGGUGGGGUAAUGGCUCACCAAGGCGACGAUCCCUAGCUGGUUUGAGAGGAUGAUCAGCCACACUGGAACUGAGACACGGUCCAGACUCCUACGGGAGACAGCAGUGGGGAAUAUUGGACAAUGGGCGCAAGCCUGAUCCAGCCAUGCCGCGUGUGUGAAGAAGGCCUUCGGGUUGUAAAGCACUUUCAGUAGGGAGGAAGGGUGUUGUGUUAAUAGCACAGCAUUUUGACGUUACCUACAGAAGAAGCACCGGCUAACUCUGUGCCAGCAGCCGCAGUAA